rnacentral:rRNA from 1 species
UAUUGCGCAAUGGAGGAAACUCUGACGCAGUGACGCCGCGUAUAGGAAGAAGUUUUUCGGAAUGUAAACUAUUGUCGUUAGGGAAGAGAAAGGACAGUACCUAAGGAGGAAGCUCCGGCUAACUACGUGCCAGCAGCCGCGGUAAUACGUAGGGAGCGAGCGUUAUCCGGAAUUAUUGGGUGUAAAGGGUGCGUAGACGGGAAGGCAAGUUGGUUGUGAAAUCCCUCGGCUUAACUGAGGAACUGCAACCAAAACUAUCUUUCUUGAGUGCUGGAGAGGAAAGUGGAAUUCCUAGUGUAGCGGUGAAAUGCGUAGAUAUUAGGAGGAACACCAGUGGCGAAGGCGACUUUCUGGACAGUAACUGACGUUGAGGCACGAAAGUGUGGGGAGCAAACAGG